rnacentral:rRNA from 1 species
CGAAGAGUGACUAGCUAACUGAAAUCAAUUAAAAAUUGAUAACAUAAGGGAAAAUAAUGAUAUUACCUUAUUAUUAGUGUCGUCCAAAACUGGUGCCAGAAGACUCGGUAAGGCCAGAGACACAAACGUUAAUCGUCUUAAUCAGGCGUAAAGGGUUUGUAGGCGGCUUUAAAAUUUAUUUAAAAUAAUAUUAAGUAAAGAAUAAAAGCUAGAAUCAAAUAGAGGAUAUAUGAAAGAAUGCUUAGAGUAGGUCUGAUAUCCUUAGAUACUAAGUAGAAUAUUAAAGGCGAAAGCUUUUUUCCAUUAAUGAUUGACGCUCAGAAACGAAGGUGAGGAUAGGAAAUAGGAUUAGAUACCCAGAAUACCCCUCUCUGUCAACGAUGAAUGGUAGUUAUUAAUAAGAAUUAUUAAUGGCAAUGUUAACACGAUAACCAUUCCGCCUUGUGAGUACAACUGCAAAGUUGAAAACAAAAAAAUUAGUCGGUUUCGGAGCAAACGAAGUGAAGCAUGUUAUUUAAUAAAUAAAAUCCGCC